GAUGAACGCUGGCGGCGUGCCUAAUACAUGCAAGUCGAGCGAACAGACGAUGAGCUUGCUCCUCUUACGUUAGCGGCGGACGGGCGAGUAACACGUGCAUAACCUACCUAUAAGACUGGGUUAACUUCGGGAAUCCGGAGCUAAUACCGGAUAAUAUAUUUAACCGCAUGGUUCAAUAGUGAAAGACGGUUUUGCUGUCACUUAUAGAUGGAUCUGCGCCGCAUUAGCUAGUUGGUAAGGUAACGGCUUACCAAGGCAACGAUGCGUAGCCGACCUGAGAGGGUGAUCAGCCACACUGGAACGGAGACACGGUCCAGACUCCUACGGGAGGCAGCAGUAGGGAAUCUUCCGCAAUGGGCGAAAGCCUGACGGAGCAACGCCGCGUGAGUGAUGAAGGUCUUCGGAUCGUAAAACUCUGUUAUUAGGGAAGAACAAAUGUGUAAGUAACUAUGCACGUCUUGACGGUACCUAAUCAGAAAGCCACGGCUAACUACGUG
rnacentral:rRNA from 1 species